AUGGACAGCUGAAGAGAGUCUACGUAUGCUGCAGGUAGAUCUGGACGGUUGUGUGCAAUUCAAGAGCCUGACUGAUUUUAUCAUAAGCCCCGGAUACCUGACAUGAAACUACAGAAUUUUGUGUUUUCUGUGUUGGAAUUUGAUUUAGGUUUGAUCUGAUUGCUCUGAACUUUUCCAUGAUCCUUGUUUUUGGACUAUGAAUGCUUACUUGUGCCACGACAUAUUGCAGUCUCACGUAUUCCAUACAGUUUACUGACUGAGCAUUCAAAACUGACUGUAGAGUUUUUGAAGGACCUCUCAGGUGGACGUUGAUGUUGAGCUUCUCUUGACUUGAUUUAAGUGUAAUGGAGUGUGGGGCAGCUGGUCUGUGCUGCCGAGGAAUUGGAAUGUGUGCUUCUGGCAAGAUAUCCAGCAGACAUCUUGGGACACUGCGGUGCUGAAGCUAGCAAGUUGUUAUAAAUAUGACCAGCAAUCGCUUCUCGGCCUUUUGGCUAAGAUCAAGUGUAGUAUAAAUAUGACCAGCAGAGAAAAAUAUAUGUGCCAAAUGGCCUCUCCACUGGAAAAUAUAAUAUUACCCACAGUUGUUCAAACCCUCCAUUGUGGAUGUGUUUUCACGAGUACACGUAAAGAGUGGCUGCUGAGUGGAAAAGAUGCUGCUGGGUUUCAGUGAAUCCGUCCCUCCAUGUUGAUGCAUUUCCUCGCAAGGACAGCUUGCUCAGCUGGACAGCGUUAGGAGUAAAACUGGACACAGAAAUCCCAGUUGGCAGGUCUGGGUGAGGAAUUGUGAGAUUUGUUAUGGUUUGGGUCACCUUUUUAUCUUUUCAAUAUGCAGAAUAUUGGCUUGAGAGCAGUAUGUUAUUACACCAAAGAGGCAUAUAAGCAUGCUUUUGUUUCAUCCAUAAUCUAUAAUCUGGAUUCUGUAAUAAGCAUUUCAACUGGGCUUAAGCCUACCUUUCUUCUUCUUUCCUACAAAUAUUAAUCAAGCAGGUAGCCAUUCUUCUUCCUGGGCUGUUAGAUAAGUGGAUUUGAGUCGAUUCAGAUUUAAACUGAUAAGAUGUAACCCCUCCUAAGAAUAAGUUUUACUGGCUGUCACUGACCUCUCACAAAGAACUGACAUUCACACAUAAGCUACUGGUAUUUGGUGACUGGCAAAUGGACAUUUCACUUCUAUUACCUAUACGACAAUGUGAGCAUAGGUCUUCAGAAGCGUAUCUCAAUAGGAAUAAAAGUGUCUAAUAGGAGAAUCAUUCAGUUUCUAUUCAGAAGCCAUCACUGUUGGUAGUCAGAGAAUAAUACAAAAAUGAAACCAUCACCAACCAACUGAAGGGAUUGCUGAGAUGAAUGUUAAACAUCCACCAAGUGUAAAUGUAAAUAAGAAAUACCCAAUUUAAUAAAGAUGGAGAAAAAAAAAGAAUGGGAACCUAAAAUCUGAACUUUCGUAAUCAUUUCAAUUUCAGAACAGAGAUUUAAAAAAUGGCCAAAGUAGGGGUUGGGGAUUUGGCUCAGUGGUAGAGCGCUUGCCUAGCAAGCGCAAGGCCCUGGGUUCAGUCCCCAGCUCCGAAAAAAAAAUGGCCAAAUUGUAUGAACUGCACCUUCCUUUUGCUUUGGCCUAGAACACAUUCAUAUUUUCAAGAGACAGUUGAUGACUAAUGUUGCAAACUGCAUGAAAAAAAAAAAGAGUUGGACAACAGGCCAUGCAAUGUCAAAUAUAGUGAGGUGGAAAUUGGCUGUUUGUCCUCAGUUUUUCAGGCUCAAUGUUUCCUGGAUUCUUCAGCUACAUCAAAAAAAGAACUUUUAACUGAGGCUAGGGUGCAUUUGAAAGGUGAGACCAUUGUCGGGGAGAGGGCUGUUUCUAUAAUUGUGUGUGCAUAAGAGUAUACAGUAAGUGUUUAAAUUUAAAGUGUCAAUACUCUGAAAACUUCAACUCAGCAAAGUCUAGUUACAUGAACAAACAUAGAAGCUUGCAUAUUCAUCUGCCUUAAUAAGAUACAUGUUGUUUUACAAUUAAUUAUUUAUAUCUAUCAUGUAUAUGAAAAAAGUCUAUAAUAAAUUUUAUUAUUUAGAAAAAUAUUUUUAUGAAAAAAUAAAGAUAGUAUAAUACUGGAAAUGUUAGAAAAUAAGGAAUAUUAUUAUAAUUUAAAAGGUAGAUUAGGAGUUUUCCGUGCUUUUUGACAUUCUAAAUGUACAAAUCUAAAUGUCAGAAGCUAAUCAUGGGUAAUCUGCAGUUGAUUUCUUCUGUUCAAAAAUACCAAGUUCUGGCAGCAAUUUUUACUUCUACGUGCUUCUAAAGGCAUAUUUUUUCAAAUACAAAAUACAGAAUCUAUCAAAUGGUAAGUAAACUUCCAAAAGAAAAUAUUUAGACUAUACCUGCAAAUCCAACCUUCUAAAGCACUGCUAAAAACUAAAGUCUUAACAAAGUUAGGAAGGAAGAAGUAACCAUGAAGUAGGAAAAGAAGACAUGAAGAUUGGUGACAGGAGUUUGAAGAAACGUUUGUUUGUUCGUUUGUUUUGAGACAGGAUCAUCUCUGUAACCAGGUCUGGCAGUACUGUGCCUCUGCUCCCCAAAACAGCAGGUUUACUCAUUUAAACAACCAUCCCUGGCUCUUGAAGUUUCUCUCUCUCUCUCUCUCUCUCUCUCUCUCUCUCUCUCUCUCUCUCUCUCUCUCCUCUCUCUCUCUCUCUCAUCCUGUGGUGUGUGUGUGUGUGUGUGUGUGUGUGUGUACAUGUGGGUGUAUGCAUGUGUAUGCUGUGUACAUGUGUGUAUGUGGACAAAUGUGUGUUGAUAUUGAGAUAACUUUCUUUAUUGUUCUUCAUAGUUUUUUCUUCACUCCCUUAGUUUUCCUCACUCUUUCCAUUCUUCCUACCAUCCUUAUUUUUCUCAACAGAUCCCAUGGAACCUGGAGCUCUCUGACAAGUGAGACUCAUGGUCUUCUUAUCUCUUGUUCCUAGCAGUGGAGUUACAGAUGCAUGAGAAACAGAAACAGACUAUACAUGGAUUCUGGGGACCUUAAACAUAAAGUGUUCAUACUUGUUCAGAAAGGACUUUUCCAUGCAGGCAUCCCCCAGCACUAAAGAAACAUCUUAUUCAUAUAUUUGCUAUCAUGGAAAACAAUUCAGAUAUUGCUACUUUUGUAUUCAUGCAAAGAUAAGCCAUCAACAGCCAGCUAUACAUGUCAUUUGUGAAAAAUUUUUAAAAAAUGUGUUUUGUAUUCUAUAGUCAGUCUUAGAAUUAAAUAUAAAAGCCGUGAAAAGUCGGAUCUAAAAGUUUAAGGAAAAGUCAAAUCUAACCGUACAGUAAUCAGCUGCACACUCGGGCUAAGCCAUAGAACAAUCUACAUGGUAAUGGCUCCACUUUAACUGUACAGUGAGGUUCAGUCUUCAAAUGCAGACAAGAUACUUCAAAAUUACUUAAAAACUGUGAUCCCCAUGAAAGUUCCAGCCUCAUUAUCUAUUUCAGAUACUGAAAGUGACAUGUUCUGAUCAGUGAGUCACAGCCACAUCCUGUGCUUGCAAAAGCAUGUUAUUUGUUUAUUUAUAUCCCUUCUUAUGGCCCAUCUAUAGGGCACUGAUGCCUGAACAUCUCUCUGAUUUGAUGGCAAUGGGCUCAGAGUGAGGGCACAUUUUAUUCACAUAGUCCCCAGCUCAUGCCGAAUAUAUGGUCAUCCCCAGCGUAUUAAUCGUCUCCUUGUUUUCACUGCUUUCGUAUAUUAUCUUAUGGAUCUUUGAGAAGAGCACAUUUUAUCUUUCUAAAGAGUCCAGAGCUUCAUCACCAUUAAAUACACAGGCUUAGUGUUAUAAGUUGAUGCUUAAAUAAGUUUAUUGGGUAAAUAUUUAGAUUAAUUUGAUUUUCUGUAUGUGAAUGCUGUAACUCUUAUGUGUAUGCAUCCCUAGUCCCUGCAAAGGACAGGAGAGGAUGCUGGUUCUCGUGAAACUAGAAAUAGAGGGGAUUUUUUUAACCAAUAGAGUGUUGAGAACAGAACUCCAGUCUCCUGUAAGAGCAGAAAGUUCCCUUAACCACUGAGUCUUCUCUCUAGCCAGGAUUAGUUGAAUCUUAACCUCUCUGAAGUCUGGGACUGGGUUGUAAAUUUUGUAGUUCUUGGACUCAACAUUGUGGGGAGGCAUAGCAUCAAUAGUGUAUUUUAAAUUUGAAUGCGUGCUUAUUUUUGAACAGAAAUGUUUGAACAGUAACAGAAAUGUUGCAGGAUAUACUUGUGCUUCUCAAGAUGUAAGAAACAUAUAGUUCGUAUCUAAGUAACAAACAUUGAGCAGAUUGCAUAUUUAUAGCUUGCUAUUCAUGUCAAUAAAUAAUUACUUUAGAAGUUCACAAUAGAAAUAUAUAAAAAAGCUACUAUAUGUCUUGGUAGCAGUUUAUAGAAACUAUGCCUUAGCUUUAAUAAACCUACUGAAAACUUUAAAACAUUAGCUCAAAUUCUUUCAAUUCGACCGUUGAGCUAAUAAGAUCGUUGAAAAUUUCCAGAAAAAGUUGUGCCCAUAGAUUUCUGGCCAUAAACUAGUGAAUACUACGAAUGUUCUUACAAUUGUACUUUUUUACUAAACAAACUAGCAAAAUGUUAUUUUAAUAACCCUAAUGGACCACAUUUUGUUGAAUCUAUAAAAUGAAAUUAUUAUAGAGCAAUAGAGGAAGACAAGAAGUCUCUGUCCUGGGGUUGGGGAUUUAGCUCAGUGGUAGAGCACUUGCCUAGGAAGCGCAAGGCCCUGGGUUCGGUCCCCAGCUCCAAAAAAAAAAAAAAAAAAGAAGUCUCUGUCCCCUCACUGACUGCAGUUCUAGCACAGUCAUAAAAAAUCACAAUAAAACUGGAGCAUUCUAAGUUUUACUGAUUUUUAAAUCAUGGUAGGUAAUUUGCCAUACUGGUGAUAUGACACGCCAAAUGUUUGUGUUUGUUAAGUAAAAAUUAAGGUCUCUUUACAACUAUUCCUUGAUUAAACAGAGCAUAUAGAGUAGUCAACAUAAUAGUGAACCUUCUUUAGUCUGCUGGAGCUCUGAAGUGUUCACGGCCAGCAGGGGCUUUAUUUUACAGGAGAACACGCAGACCGCUGCACACAGCCAUGUUUUCAUGAAGAAUGUGUUACAAUCAGGUUUGAUUCUGUGCAAUCAGAUCUCACAAUUUGCUCAGCUUUAAGUCCUCACACACAGUGAUGUCUAAUUAUUUUAACUUGUCUUUCACGAGGUAAACACUAUCUAAGUACACUUCAAUUUCAAAGAAAUGGACCAUAGAAAGGAUUUGCCAUAAUGAGUUUUAACUAAUGUUAUUUUUCGUUAAGAGAUAGUUAUAUUUUCAGAAACGAAGAGCCAUAGAUCAUAGUAUUUUGUUCCAUGUGUCAUAUCAAGAAGAAGCCAAAAAGCUUAUUUUCGGAGCCCCUACCCCAGGUCAUACAUUACUAUAACUCCAGUAUUGAGAGGCUGAUUUUGUAGAAAUGCGGCAAGUCUAAGGUGAGUCUGAGCUACAAAUUUCUAGGUCAUCCUGUGCUACAAAGAGAGCAAUAUCCUAAACAAAUAAAUCAAACUAAAAACACAGUGCCACGUUCAGCAUUGUUCACAUCUCUACGUUGUUUGAUAUGUUGCUGAAGGGUCUUUUGUUUGCCUCUUUAUUAUAUCUAUAAUAAAAUUUCAGUUACAAAAGAUGUCACUCCUUAGACAAUUGUUAUACUUAAAGUCUCUAAUUGUAGAUCUAAUUUACAUAGUUGUUAGUUAUUCUCAAGUGUUGCAGAAACAUGGAAGGAAAAACCUCGGUCUCAUCAAAUAUAAUUCAACAUGAUUUAACCUGGAAGUAUACAUUUAAUUUAUUCUUGCAUACAUUUUAUUUAUUAUAGCUAUUAUUUGGAAAUUCUUAAUUUUAUAAUUAUUCUUU